AACGAACGCUGGCGGCAGGCUUAACACAUGCAAGUCGAACGCGUGUAGCAAUACACGAGUGGCGCACGGGUGAGUAACGCGCGGAUAUCUGCCUUUUGGUUCGGAAUAACCCCGGGAAACUGGGGCUAAUACCGGAUGGUUCCUACGGGAUAAAGAUUUAUCGCCAAAAGAUGAGUCCGCGUACGAUUAGCUAGUUGGUGAGGUAAUGGCUCACCAAGGCGACGAUCGUUAGCUGGUCUGAGAGGACGAUCAGCCACACUGGGACUGAGACACGGCCCAGACUCCUACGGGAGGCAGCAGUGGGGAAUAUUGGACAAUGGGGGCAACCCUGAUCCAGCCAUGCCGCGUGAGUGAUGAAGGCCUUCGGGUUGUAAAGCUCUUUUGGCGGGGACGAUGAUGACGGUACCCGCAGAAUAAGCCCCGGCUAACUUCGUGC
rnacentral:rRNA from 1 species